AUGACCAUCAGGAACUUCAAUACCCAGAGGUGGCUGCAUAUAGAAAAAACUCAUGUAUAUCACCAUGAAGGAAAGCAUUUUUUACAUCCAUUUGAGAGAUUUGCCAAGAUCGAGCUGCAGCCACAGCAAUCAGAGUACGAACAGAAAUUGAAACAACGCAACCGUACUAUCUAUUUACGAUAAUUUGAUUGCUGACAACACGACAACAUCACGCUUCUCUUUCUUAUUCUUAUUUAUAUAACUGUCACUUUACCGGGCCGGAAAAGUGACACCGUCACGCCUCAGGGUCGUAUGCCUGGAACAAGAAGGGUCGUCGUACAAUUUCGGAGAUUACAAAAAAGAAGGAGGCGAUCCCUAUCCCUCUUUGUCUUUCCACUUCCCGAACAAACACUUCGCCAAAUUCUUUUGAGUCCCGGCCCGGUUUUUCCCCACUAA
rnacentral:rRNA from 1 species